rnacentral:rRNA from 1 species
AGUCAUACGCUCGUCUCAAAGAUUAAGCCAUGCAUGUGUAAGUAUAAAUAUUUAACUUUGAAACUGCGAAUGGCUCAUUAUAUCAGUUAUAGUUUAUUUGAUGAAAAGUACUACUUGGAUAACCGUAGUAAUUCUAGAGCUAAUACAUGAUAAAAUCCUCGACUUUGAAGAGGUGUAUUUAUUAGAAUGAAACCAAUAGACUUCGGUCUGUUUGUGAGUAAUAAUAACUAAUCGUAUCGCAUGCUUAGGUAGCGAUAUGUCUUUCAAGUUUCUGCCCUAUCAGCUUUGGAUGGUAGUGUAUUGGACUACCAUGGCAGUAACGGGUAACGAAGAAUUUGGGUUCGAUUUCGGAGAGGGAGCCUGAGAGAUGGCUACCACAUCCAAGGAAGGCAGCAGGCGCGUAAAUUACCCAAUCCUGACAUAGGGAGGUAGUGACAAUAAAUCACAAUGCGGAACUAUUAGUUUUGCAAUUGGAUUGAGAACAAUGUACAAAUGUUAUCGAUAAACAAUUGGAGGGCAAGUCUGGUGCCAGCAGCCGCGGUAAUUCCAGCUCC